UAAAGCUUGUCCAAUGGCUUGUCUGAAUACUGUUAAAGUGAUGCUCUAAUGAAGCUUGCUUUUACCUCUCCUUGACCAUACUUGAUUUUCAGGCUAGACCAUUGGUUCCACAGAUUCUAACCAGUUUUGGAAACUUAAAAUGUCUUUUAAGUCAAAACUCCACUAGUAGAUGGAACUGUGUCUUUCAAGUCAGAACUGUACUAGUUGAUGGAACUCAUUAAUUCAAAGUUGAUUUGGGUGUCCACAAAAGCUCAUCAUUAGACGACCCUUUUGAGCUUUUCUGUGCGGGUGGAAGGACUCUUCUAAGUUAUUUGGUUCAGAUUCUCAGAAUAGUUAUAAAAGCUCUGGGACCAAAUUGCAAUAAAAUGUUUUUAAUUAUGUUCUAAUUCUUUCUAUCAAUUAAUUUGUGCAUUCUCUUUAAAGAAAUUUGAUUAUUCAUGCCAUGAAGAAUAUGUGCUAACUUCGUGAAAUUUCUUUUCAUAGGCCAUUUUUUGAAUGUUGUUAGCGGUAUGAAGUUGACAGAGACAGCUGGGGAUCUUGCAAUUGCAGCUGCUAUUUGCAGUAGCUUUUUGGAGUUUCUAAUACCUAAGAAUGUAGCUUUUAUCGGAGAAGUGGAGAAGUUGGUCUUGGUGGCAAGCUUCGAACGGUUGCAAGAAUGGAUAAGAGGCUUAACGAACUUAUUAAGUUGCGCAAUUUAAGAAUUGCGUUAUUCCAAAAGUGGCAGAGAAGUUGUUCAAAG